ACCCUUUUCCCUUUCGCCCUGCCGCUUCCCCUCUUGGCCGGAGGCUCCUCCCUCGCGGCAGCGACCAAUACGGCGAGACGCCGCGGCCGCGCGAGCGCCCGCGAGGUCAGCGGCGAAUAGGGCGAGGCGCCGCGGCCGCGCAAGUGCACGCGAGGUCAGCGGUGAUUACGGCGAGGCGCCACGUCCGCACGGGCGGCAGCGGCCAAUACGACGAGGCGCAGCGGCCGGACGGGCCCCACGAGGUCCAGGGGCGGCUGCAGCCAAUUCGGCGAGGCGGCGGCUGUCCGGUGGCCGUACGUCCUCCUGCCUGGGCUCGAACUCCCGCCGUGCGUCCCCACCCGCAUCACCAAGCUUCCCAGCGCCGUCCGCGUCGCCUCCGAGGAUGUCCCGGUCAGAGUUGAAACAGACCCACAAGACAGAACUCAGCUCUGGAUAGGUCUUCGGGAGCUGAGUUAUUUUACCUCAGUUUACCCCCUUUAGCAGCCACCAUUAUCUUUUCCUGGCACUCCUUUUGAACAUUGUUCAAAGAAAUCAGCAGCUGCCAUUAUUUUACAUCAGUUUACCCCCUUUUAGUAAAAACAGACAACUCAUUGUCUCGCUACUCCUAAUUUUUUAUUGUGCUUUUGUGUAGGAGGAGAAAUUGAUCCUUAGACUACAAAAACAACAGAACAGCAGGGAUGAUAUUCAGGUUGACAUAUCUGAAAAGAGCCCAAGAAUACUACAAAUGGGUUCGACAUGGGUUGAACAUAGGGGUUCUUGGCCUGAGCAUGCAAGUGUAUGGCCGGGACAGUCGUUACGUGAUUAAUAUGUUGGGAAAAUCAGUAAUGGUCGAGCAAACCGAAAAGGAGAGGCUGAAUCUUCUCCCGCAAAGUUACUGGUCAGGAUACUAUGUCGAAUGCGACAUUGCUUCACUAUUCCAAAAGGCAUUUGAAACUCCAAUGGCGUUAUCUGUUCACCUGAGGGAGAGAAUGAUAGGGUUCCAGCUUGACCGAAUUGACAUCGUAUUUUUGUAGUCCAACAUACGAGCCAUAUAAUUCUAUAGUCUCCAUGCAAAUUCCAUUUCUUUUCUAUUUUCAGUCAAAAGUCAACAUAACAUUUUUGAGGUAAUAUCGUUUUUAUUUUUGGAUCAAUGAACAGGGCUUUUUUUUCACCCUUAA